rnacentral:tRNA from 1 species
GUGGGCGUAUCCAAGCACGGUCAAAGGAGUUGGCCUGUCACCCAAUCCUUCAGAGGUUCGCGGGUUCAAAUCCCGCCGCCCGCA